AAAGAUUAAGCCAUGCAGGUGCAAGUACGAUCGGUACAAUGAGAGACUGCGAAUGGCUCAUUAGAUCAGUUAUAAUUUUCUGGAUCGUACGAUCCUUACUUGGAUAACUGUGGCAAUUCUAGAGCUAAUACAUGCAACGAAGCUCCGACUGUAGUCAGUUGGAGGGCUUUUAUUAGUUGAACCUCCCGAGCUGGUCUCGUCGAUGGUGACUCUGGAUAACGCUGCUGAUCGCUAGGCUUUUGGCCAGCGACAAAUCCAAAAAGUAUCUGCCUUAUCAGCUAGUAGGUGGUCGACCUGACCACCUAGGCUACCACGGGUAGCGGGGAAUCAUGGGUUUGAUUCCGGAGAGGGAGCAUGASAAACGGCUACCACGUCCAAGGAAGGCAGCAGGCACGCAACUUACCCAAUCCCGACACGGGGAGGUAGUGACGAAAAAUACCAAUACGGGACUCUGUCGAGGCUCCGGCAUUGGAAUGAGUACACUUUAAAUCCUUUGCCAAGGAUCAAUUGGAGGGCAAGCCUGGUGCCAGCAGCCGCGGUAAUUCCAGCUCCGGUAGCAUAUAUUAAAGUUGCUGUAGUUAAAAGGCUCGUAGUUGGAUCUCAGCCGCAGAAUCGAGGUGCACUUGACGGUGUAUCCUUGUGACUGUACUACACGAGCCGUGUGCGCCGUGGUGGUCUUCACUGACCGCUUGCCGGUGUCCUGGCAUAUUUUACUUUGAAAAAAAUAGAGUGUUCACAGCGGUCCAUUCCUAUGGCCGCAUAAAGUUGCAUGGAAUAAUAGAAGAUGACCUCUGACUCAUUUUUGUUGGCUUCGAUGAGUGCGAGGUAAUGACUAAUAAGAGCGGCCGGGGGCAUUCGUAUUACGACGGGAGAGGUGAAAUUCUACGAUCGUCGUAAGACGGACGGCAGCGAAAGCGUUUGUCAAGUGCGUUUUCAUUAGUCAGGAACGAAAGUUAGAGGCUCGAAGACGAUCAGAUACCGUCGUAGUUCUGACCGUAAACGAUGCCGGAUGACAAUCUGUCGAAGUUAGAUCCGCAUGACUCGGCAGGCAGCCACCUCGGGAAACCAAAACUUUUGGGCUCUAGGGGAAGUAUGGUUGCAAAACUGAAACUUAAAGGAAUUGACGGAAGGGCACCACCAGGAGUGGAGCCUGUGGCUUAAUUUGACUCAACACUGGGCAACUCACCCGGUCCGAACAGUUGCGAGGAUUGACAGAUUGAAAGCUCUUUCUCGAUUCAGUGGAUGGUGGUGCAUGGCCGUUCUUAGUUCGUGGAACGAUUUGUCUGGUUAAUUCCGAUAACGAACGAGACUCUAGCCUAUUAAAUAGUUGUGCGAUACUUCGGUAGUCGGCAACAUACAACUUCUUAGAGGGACAUGUGGCUUAUAGCCACACGAGAAUGAGCAAUAACAGGUCUGUGAUGCCCUUAGAUGUUCGGGGCCGCACGCGGGCUACAAUGUUUGUAUCAGCGUGUAUCCUCCUGACCCGAAAUGGUUGGGCAAGCCCAUGAACUGCGAAUUCAGUCGGGAUUGGGGCCUGUAACGGUGCCUCAUGAACGCGGAAUUCCAAGUAAGCGGGAGUCAACAGCUUCUGUUGACAGAGUCCCUGCCCUUUGUACACACCGCCCGUCGCUACUACCGAUGAACGGUUUGGUGAGACCUCUGGAUUCGCCAGUGGGGCCUCGCGCUCCGCGUGCUGGCGAAGAAGUUGGUCGAACUUGGUCGUUUAGAGGAAGUAAAAGUCGUAACAAGGUUUUC
rnacentral:rRNA from 1 species